AAAAUCAUCGAUCUUUCGAUCUCAGAAAACCUCGAAUUUUUAUCAGAGAAUGGUUCAAAUGAUUCAUUGAUUCACACAAGAGCAUCAUCGGAUCACUAUGCAAGGCUCUGAUACUAUGAAAACAUGCACAAUAUCGAAGAAAUUUAGAGAGAGAAAGUAGAGAGAAGGGAGAGCAUCGAAGAGUCUCGAAGAAGACUCAGAAUUCAUUUCUGAAAAUG
rnacentral:lncRNA from 1 species